GAUUAAGUGUAUAUGAAAUAUGCAUGAAAUUCUAACUUGUCCUCCUAAUAUGCAAGAUGCUAAAGGAAGUCCAGGAGGGGAGAACUGGAGCCAAGGCAUAGCAGAGGCUGUUUGUAGCUCUGGUUAAUGUAGUUAAUGCUGCUAGCUUUGCUCACACCAGAUAUUGAUUUUUUCUGUUAACAGUAUCUUCCAAUGACUUAAUCCCCUGCAAAAAUGAGGAGAGAAAAUAGCCCCUGGAGCUGCUGUCCCAUGAAGCACACCCCAGGGCAGGACUGGCAGACAGAGGCUGGCCUCCUGUUCUAGCUACGACAUGACACUCACUGGACACCAGCCUUAUGGGCACCGAAGAUGCUUCAGCCCAGCACACAGGUGACAUGAAUGGCUUCAGGAGCGAGAGCAAAGGGACCAUCCAACAGCCAAGUUGGCAAGUAAGAUUUAUUGAAUGCAGGUCAGACCCCAA